GGAACAUCCGAGAUCCAGUCCCAGAGCCAGCGGCAGCUGGCCCCAUGCCUGGUUAUGCAGUUGUCUGGAUCCCUCUUUACAGCCCUUGCACCAGUAGCCAGGCACACACCCUACAGAGAAAAGAAGUUUCUUGGCUUAGAACCUGACCAUCUCAAGAGGAAACAUCCAAAGAAAUCGACUUCAGAAGAUCCCAGAUUACACUCUUGGGUGCCCCAAAGAUUUGGAGGAAAUAGCAAGAAAACUGGAAUUAGGAGUGGACCCUCAAGACAUGACUGAAUUGCUGGAAUCUCAUGGUAAAAUGUUAACAGAUGAAGAGUUGAUUCUUAUGGAUGAGCAAAAAAAAAAAAAAAAAU